rnacentral:rRNA from 1 species
UCAGUAACACGUAGUCAACAUGCCCAGGGGACGUGGAUAACCUCGGGAAACUGAGGAUAAACCGCGAUAGGUCACUACUUCUGGAAUGGGUAAUGACCCAAACCUAUAUGGCCCCUGGAUUGGACUGCGCCGAUCAGGCUGUUGGUGAGGUAAUGGCCCACCAAACCUGUAACCGGUACGGGCUCUGAGAGGAGGAGCCCGGAGAUGGGCACUGAGACAAGGGCCCAGGCCCUAUGGGGCGCAGCAGGCGCGAAACCUCUGCAAUAGGCGAAAGCUUGACAGGGUUACUCUGAGUGAUUUCCGUUAAGGAGAUCUUUUGGCACCUCUAAAAAUGUGUCAGAAUAAGGGGGGGCUUAGUAUGGU